AAUAAUUUAGGAACGAUGAAGUAUAACUCAUAUUUGGUCACCUAGGUUAUAUGGAGUUAAUGGUGAAACCGUCCUAUAUUCUU
rnacentral:ncRNA from 2 species